rnacentral:rRNA from 1 species
GAUGAACGCUGGCGGCGUGCCUAAUACAUGCAAGUCGAGCGAACAGACGCGGAGCUUGCUCCUUUGACGUUAGCGGCGGACGGGUGAGUAACACGUGGUUAACCUACCUCUAACACUUGGAGAACUACGGCAAACCGGAGCUAAUACCGCAUAAUAUUUCGAGCCUCAUGGUUCGAUAGUGAAAGAUGGCUUUUCUAUCGCUUAUAGAUGGACCUGCGCCGUAUUAGCUUGUUGGUAGGGUAACGGCUUACCAAGGCAACGAUACGUAGCCGACCUGAGAGGGGGGUGGGCGACACUGGAAGGGAGACGAGGCCGAGACGACUACGGGAGGAAGCAGUAGGGAAUAUUACGGCACGGGCGGAAGAAGGAUGGAGCAACGCCGCGUGGUGGAUGAAGGUCUUCGGAGCGUAGAAAUCUGCUAUUAGGGAAGAAGAAGGGUGGAAGUAACUGUGCACGUGUUGACGGUACCUAAUCAGAAAGCCACGGCUAACUACGUG